CACACAAAAGCAUCUUCAGCUACCCAGGCAUCCUGCCUGCUUGGAGUGCAUGGGUUUGAAAAACAGGACACCGCCACUGAUAUUUUGGACAAUGUGCCUGAUAACAAGGCUUCUCUGUGCCACUGCUCUUCUCAGAUCUUUUACUGCUUUGGAAAGGAAGCCAAGGAACCAAGAUGUUCUCAGUAUCUGUUGAAGCAGCUGAACAAAUUCAAAUUCCUCCACCUGCCUCUAGAACUCAGCAGAAGCCUGCUUUAUGCCUCUUCUGUGCUACUAGGACUGGGCUAAUGAAACAGGCUUCUUCCUGGGUCCUCAAGGUCUGCUUGAGCAUGAAGUUUUAUGUUCCAUCAUUUCUGAGCAGCUGUGAAUCCCUGUCACCAAAGAGAUCUUCUACAAAGGACCAAGAUGACAUCCUGGCUCCCAAAGGAAGGGAAGAAGAAGGAACCACCACAGCAAAACCAGACCACAAACAAUCCAGAUGAAGAAAAACAAGAGAAGUUCUCCUCAUUGUUGUCGGUUGCUGUAAUGCAAGAGUCCUCCAUCUUGUUUGAAAUCACCUUUCUCCAGAAGUCAAAGUAUUGUGGAAAUCACAGGCAGUUCCAGCUGGAGACAAAUACCUGCAAGCACGUGUUAAUCUUGCAGCAGCUAUAGAAUAUGGGAUGGUGUCAGUUGAUUUAGAUUGAAUCCAUAGAUGUGGCUCUUUUUUUUUUUUUUUAAAUUGAUUUUGGCUUCUCCUUAUUAAUAUUCAAGGAGGCUUGAGGUGCUAGGAAAUGAAAUAAUAUAAUAAUAUAGCUAUCAGGGUCAGGCUUUUUUCUCUUCAUUGACUUUGCCUACAGGAUUCCUACACAGGAAGUCCAACAGGGCUGGAAAAUAGGAUCCACAUCUUCAAAACCUUAGCCCUACAUCUUUAUCCAAUGGAAUAGAUUUUGAGUGAAAGAAGUGUCAUAAGAAGUAAGAGGCAAUGCUGGAAAGCAGUUUCCAGUUGCUAUGAUAUGGCAGUCUUUCUGCUUCUUAGUAGCUAGCUGAUAUAAAUAAUGUUCUGAUCUGCCUAAUGUUUUGAAUUUGUAUUUGCUAAAGGCAGAGUACAUUCCUUCUCACAUGAGGACAUGCUGAAGAGAGUCAUUCAAGAGAAACCAUAACACUCUUUGCAAGUCUCAUAUUCUUUGCUAUGUCCUGAACACUAUAGCAUUUAUACAAAUAGAGACAGCUGCAAUCCCUUCCGGACACAGUUUUAUGUCAGAACAGCAAUAGAGAACUAAAAAAAAGAACAAAAAAAAGAAAAAGGAACAUAUUAAAGUUUAAAGCUUGCGGUUUGGUGUUCCAAGUUCCUGUUUCCCUCCAAAUCAUUCGGAAAAAUACUCCUUUCACCUCCUUUUGAAGAAAUGGAAUUAGGAACCUCCAGGCACUUCCCUCUUGGGUUAAUUUCUGGAAGUUGUAAGAACACCAAAAUAGCUUAGAGAGACUUACAGAAAGGAGGUAGUGUCCAAUGAGAUUCACUAGUCAACUUUUCAUUUGUGCAAGGAAUAAGAGAAUUCCUGCUGGAAUGGAUCAGAUACGGAGUUAUCUCCCUAGAAGAGGAAGGAUCCUGCAGCAAUUGCAGCAGGCAGCGUUAUAUCCAUUGCAGCAAUUUCAAGGGACUCUUCAUGGCUUAUACUGGAUGCACUCUGCACAGCAGAGCGUCUCCCCAGACUGACUCACCAAAGGUUUCUGUAGCCCUGCCAGGUCCUGAAAAGUCAUUUGGCCCCAGUUCCUUGCCUCUGACCAGGUAACAAAACUGGUUCUAUUCAUUUAAGGACUCUCACUUUACAAACACAUUUUAAGUGACGGAGAGACAUGACAACCUAGUAUUUAUGGCAAGUAACAAAACGUAAGUCUUUUUUACUUUUCAUUUAUCUCUCAUAUGCAUAUACAUACAGAUCUUCUCUUGUAUCUCACAGGUUUAAGAUCACCAGAGCUUAAUAAACAGCCCAUAAAGAAAAUAACCA
rnacentral:lncRNA from 1 species